CGAGCCGGAGGCACGGCUAGGCCAGAGCAGCUGCGCAGAGUGCUGUAGAAUGUUGACAGUGACGGGCGUGUUGGCGGCGGUGGUGGUGUUGGCCGCCUCGGCGAUGCUACUCUCCCGCAGGUGGCGUGUCUGGAGGGACGUGGAGCGUAUCCCGGGGGACCUAGCCCUGCCCUUCCUCGGCAACACCUACGUCUUGCUCCACACGCCCCGCGAAGAUUUUAUGGAAUUCGUGAAGAAGACAACUAAGAAAUUCUGGCCUAUUCAUCGAUUAUGGCUUGGUCCCUUCGCAGAAGUAAGAAUAACUAAACCAGAGCAUAUAGAGAUUGUCAUGGCUAGCAGUGAUCUUAUUACUAAAGCUGACCUCUACGCUUUCCUGCACCCCUGGCUGGGAGAAGGUCUUCUCACGAGCACAGGAACAAAGUGGCAUUCACAUCGAAAGAUGAUUACUCCCGCCUUCCACUUUACCAUUCUCGAUAAUUUCAUUGAAGUGUUCGUGGAGAAAUCAGAAGUAUUGGUAAAGCUUCUGAAGUCGAAAGCCGAUGGACAAGCCUUCGACAUUUAUCCGCACAUCACACGCUGUACCCUCGAUAUCAUAUGCGAAACGGCGAUGGGCACCCCUGUCGACGCACAAAACAGUGAUGAAUCUGCUUAUGUGAACGCAGUUUACAGCAUCGGCGAACUCACUAUCAAAAGAAUUCUUAACCCGUUGCUGCACAACGACUUCAUUUUCCGAAUGUCUAAUAUUGGAAAAGAAUUCUACAGGAAACUUGACAUUCUACAUGAGUUUACGAGAAAGGUCAUUAGAGAAAAGAAACUGUCGAAGAUGAUGGAGAAAACCGAUGAGAAGACAGAUGAAACAGAUAGGAAGCGGCGAGUGGCCUUCCUCGACAUGUUGCUUGCCGAGUCUGAAGAUGGCCAGAGGUUAACCGACCAAGAAGUACAAGAGGAAGUGGACACUUUCAUGUUUGAGGGCCACGAUACAACCUCGGCCGCCAUAUCUUGGGCUUUAGUCUUACUCGGACACCACCCAGAGAUACAAGAGAAUUUUCAUUCCGAGUUAAAAGAUAUAUUUGACAGAGAUCAUUUUAGAGGCCUCACAAUGCAAGAUCUACAUAACAUGAAGUACCUUGACAUGGUAAUUAAGGAGGCAUUGAGGCUUUAUCCGAGCGUGCCAUUCAUCGCCCGCAAGGUCACCAACGAUGUGCAAGUGGGUGGGUACAGGAUACCAGAGGGCGUAACAGUAACGAUGCAGAUCUGCCACACACACCGCGACCCCGACCACUGGCCGGACCCUGAUCGCUUCGACCCUGACAACUUCCUGCCGGAAAGAGUGCAGGGCAGGCACCCCUUCGCCUACGUGCCCUUCAGCGCCGGACUUCGCAACUGCAUAGGAAUGGACAAAUCGCCAUGUCACCGGGCCACAGCUGUUCGCCAUAGCUCUGGAGAAUAUGCUGGACAAUUUGAGAGCGCCCAUCAUGAAUCCCAUCGAGCAUUUAUGUGACAUAAUCGAGAAGUCAGUUCGUGCACAGACCCCUGCGUUGGCACCACUUCCGCAGGACUUCCAACGAUUUGUUGAGUCCAUUCUAGUUGGAGCUGCUGCAUUACGCCGGCGAAAAGGAAGUAUGACUUGAUAUUAAGAGGUAUCCCACGACUUUUGUCAUCUUGGUGUACAGUUGCUUUGAAAGUGAAAGGGUUCGUGUUUGGUUUUGCGUGAUACACAUUUGCUGAAUUUGUUUUCGGUAACAUGCCUGUUGUGCAUACAACAUACACAUACACACACAAA